rnacentral:rRNA from 1 species
UACGAAGGGUGCAAGCGUUACUCGGAAUUACUGGGCGUAAAGGGUGCGUAGGUGGUUCUUUAAGUCUGCUGUGAAAGCCCCGGGCUCAACCUGGGAAUGGCAGUGGAUACUGGAGAGCUAGAGUGCGGUAGAGGGUAGUGGAAUUCCCGGUGUAGCAGCGAAAUGCGUAGAGAUCGGGAGGAACACCAGUGGCGAAGGCGGCUACCUGGACCAGCACUGACACUGAAGCACGAAAGCGUGGGGAGCAAACAGG